CCUACGGGAGGCAGCAGUAAGGAAUAUUGCGCAAUGGACGAAAGUCUGACGCAGCAACGCCGCGUGCAGGAUGACGGCCCUUUGGGUUGUAAACUGCUGUAGCAGGGGAAUAAGAGCCCACUCGGUGGGUGUGAAGGUACCCUGAAAGUAAGCUCCGGCUAACUACGUGCCAGCAGCCGCGGUAAU
rnacentral:rRNA from 1 species